rnacentral:rRNA from 1 species
GACGAACGCUGGCGGCGUGCUUAACACAUGCAAGUCGAACGGAAAGGCCCUGCUUUUGUGGGGUGCUCGAGUGGCGAACGGGUGAGUAACACGUGAGUAACCUGCCCUUGACUUUGGGAUAACUUCAGGAAACUGGGGCUAAUACCGGAUAGGAGCUCCUGCUGCAUGGUGGGGGUUGGAAAGUUUCGGCGGUUGGGGAUGGACUCGCGGCUUAUCAGCUUGUUGGUGGGGUAGUGGCGUACCAAGGCUUUGACGGGUAGCCGGCCUGAGAGGGUGACCGGCCACAUUGGGACUGAGAUACGGCCCAGACUCCUACGGGGGGCAGCAGUGGGGAAUAUUGCACAAUGGGCGGAAGCCUGAUGCAGCAACGCCGCGUGCGGGAUGACGGCCUUCGGGUUGUAAACCGCUUUCGCCUGUGACGAAGCGUGAGUGACGGUAAUGGGUAAAGAAGCACCGGCUAACUACGUG